ACAAGUAAAAACUGAUUUUAGAUCUGCUGGUGGAGUGCAUGAGGGCAACAUAUGGAGUCACCAAUGCAUCACUCUCAAAAACUGCCCAAGAGUUAGAUGUGUUGGCCCCCAACUUAUCAAACGCUGCCAAUCCAGGAUCACAGGAAAUAUUUCACACAAGACAACAAAGAUGUGAAGGAGCUAGUCUGGUGUCCAAUGCUGCAUUUGGUGAUGGUUGAUGUUCAACAGAUGAUGGCUGUGGCAGAUUCGGGCUCCGAUUGCGGGAGCUAGUGGCAGCAUAUGGAUGGUUUUGAAUCCUCGUUCUUGAUACUGUCUAUAAGUAUACAUAACUAUAUGUAUAUAAAAUUGUUUAAAACA